rnacentral:rRNA from 1 species
GACGAACGCUGGCGGCGUGCCUAACACAUGCAAGUCGAACGGAAAGACCACUAUCGGGGGGUACUCGAGUGGCGAACGGGUGAGUAACACGCGAGUAAACAGCCCAUGUCUAUGGGUUAACUACAGGAAACUGGGGCUAAUACCGGAUAGGAGAUCUAGCUGAAUGGUGGGGGUAGGAAAGAUUCGGGGGUUGGUGGUGGACUCGCGGCUUAUCAGCUUGUUGGUGGGGUAGUGGUUUACCAAGGCCUUGGCGGGUAGACGGCCAGUGGGGGUGACCGGCCACAUUGGGUCUGAGGUGAGGCCCAGACACCUACGGUACGGAGCUGUGGGGAAUCUUGCACAAUGGGUGGAAGCCUGAUGCAGCAGCGCCUUGGGCGGUAUGACUGCCUUCUUGUUGAAAACCGCUUGCGCACAUGACGAAGCUUUUUGUGACGGUAGUUGGUAAAGAAGCACCGGCUAACUACGUG